rnacentral:rRNA from 1 species
CAGCCCCUCGAGUGGUGGGGAUGAUUAUUUGGCCUAAAGCGUCCGUAGCCUGCCGGGUAAGUUUCCCGUUAAAUCCAGCGUCUCAAGCGUUGGACUGCGGGAAAUACUGCCUGGCUAGAGAGUGGGAGAGGUCAGCGGUAUUCUGGGGGUAGGGGCGAAAUCCUUUGAUCCCCGGAGGACCACCAGUGGCGAAGGCUGCUGACUAGAACACGUCUGACGGUCGGGGACGAAAGCUGGGGUAGCGAACCGGAUUAGAUACCCGAGUAGUCC